rnacentral:rRNA from 1 species
CAGCCGGGGUAAUACGUAGGGGGCUAGCGUUAGCCGGAUUUACUGGGCGUAAAGGGUGCGUAGGGGGUCUUUCAAGUCGGGAGUGAAAGGCGACGGCUCAACCGUAGGAAGCUGUUGAAACUGGGAGACUUGGGUGCAGGAGAGGAGAGUGGAAUUACUAGUGUAGCGGUGAAAUGCGUAGAUAUUAGGAGGAACACCAGUUGCGAAGGCGGCUCUCUGGACUGUAACUGACGCUGAGGCACGAAAGCGUGGGGAGCAAACAGGAUUAGAUAACCUGGUAGUCCACGCUGUAAACGAUGAGUACUAGGUGUCGGGGGUUACCCCCCUCGGUGCCGCAUCUAACGCAUUAAGUACUCCGCCUGGGUAGUACGCUCGCAAGCGUGAAACUCAAAGGAAUUGACGGGGACCCGCACAAGUAGCGGAGCAUGUGGUUUAAUUCGCAGCAACGCGAAGAA